CUUAAGUAAAUCCGUCACUAUACAGUGUGGUUGCAUAUUAAGUGCUUUGGGAUCCUUCUGUAAGUCAUUUUGGAGUACAAUGGUUCUAGAGAAAG